rnacentral:misc_RNA from 1 species
UAUUUGUAUUCAUCUUCAUACAUAUUACACUCGGAGAUAACCUUUAGUCUUGCUGUUUCUAUCUAAAAAGAAUUCUUACGCUAGCAUUCAGUGUUUCAUUUAAUCAACUUAGAAAUGUCAGUCAUUUAGAUUGCAUUAUUGGAUAUUUUUGUUUUCUUUAAGCUAUUUUUUACUACUGAUUAGUAGACUUGAUAUCAAACUCGCUUAAAUAUUCAAUUUUCUAUAAGCUCAGCUCCUCUCAUCGUCUCAGAUUAACGGCCAGUGAAUAUGAAGAAGUAUUUAAUAAUAUUGUUGUGUUUCUGGCAAUCACAACUCCACUAUAUACCAGGUUGUCGAUCACACGAAAUAACUCAUGAGGACAUAAAAGAGGCAAUGCUUAGUCUUGUUCAUUUGAUUCGCGAAAACACGGAGAAGUUAGAGCGACAUGAAAUUCGUGAACGUCAUUUAGGAGACCAAGUCAAAAAAAGUUUAGGGAUACUAUCUAAAAAGAUUAUAGAUAUUGAAGAAAUACGAAGACACUUGCAAAAGUUUGACACAAGAGUUACCAGUCUUGAAAGAUCUCUUGCUAAGAUGACAAACAUGAGUGAAAAAGUUGAUGAAAUUUAUAGUUCAAUGAUGACAAGCAAACAUAAUCUUGACUUUCCUCAAAAGCAUGGAGAAACAGAUUUUUCUGGUAACUAUCAUCUAAUUGAAAGUCAAACAGAAAUGAUCAAAAACCUUACAAGAAAACUCGAAGAUUCUCAAUCUCAACAACAUAAAGAGGCUAGGAUUAUUUCUGAUUACCAGAUCCGUGAUCCCGGGGCUGCUGUUAGCGCUUUUUCCUUGAAUAGGCCCUCCGGUUGGUCCUUGCAGCGGAUGGAUGUGGAUGGAUUUGUCGAAUGUCAGUAUUGUCUCAGUUGUGAGCUAAGGAAGAAGAAUGUACACCAUCCAGCACAAUUUUGAAGGCUAUGGAACUUGGUUCCAGAUGGUUCUUGACAUUUAUGGAGAGAAGGACUUAAGGAAAGGUAUCCGCCUGUUGGGCUUCUUGGCGCGCCCGAUCAACCCUCACGAAGGGUUGCUCGUGGCGGCCAGGAUGGAAAUUUUGUUUGGGAACCUUCCUCUGGAGGUCCUGGGGGCCGUGACCUAUUUCUGCCUGCAGGGCCCGGAGAUUGUAGAGGACCCUUGGGCCUUGAAGGAGGUAAUUUCUCCGAACAGCGGGGACCUGGAGCAGUUGAGGAUCGCUCUCAUGGAAGCGAUCCUUAACGGUUUGGUCACCAUGGCGUAAGCUAGACGUAUCGGAUGUCACCGGACGGCUGGGUGCCGUAAAUAUAAUUAU